GCUGGGCAUAGUGGCGUGUGCCUGUAAUCCCAGCUACUCAGGAGGCUGAGGCAGGAGGAUUCCUUGAACCCAGGAGGUGGAGGUUGCAGUGAGCUGAGAUUGUGCCACUGGACUCCAGCCUGGGCAACAGAGUGAGACCCUGUCUCAA
rnacentral:SRP_RNA from 1 species